rnacentral:rRNA from 1 species
AUUACGAGCAAUGCUUAAAACCCAAAGGAUUUGACGGUGUCCCACCCCACUAGAGGAGCCUGUUCUUUAAUCGAUGAUCCCCGCUUCACCUAACCACUCCUCGCCUAUCAGUCUGUAUACCUCCGUCGAAAGCUUACCAUGUGAACGCCCACAGUAGGCCCAAUGAUUUACCAUCAGUACGUCAGGUCAAGGUGCAGCUUAAGGAGUGGCAAGCAAUGGGCUACAAUUUCUAAUCUAGAACAAACGAAAGACUAUGUGAAACCCUAGUCAUGAAGGUGGAUUUAGUAGUAAAAAGAAAGCAGAGUGUUCUUUUUAACUCGGCUCUGGGACGCGUACACACCGCCCGUCACCCUCUUCGAUAGUACCACAUCCGUUCAUAACCCCAUAUUACAUUUUAGAAGAGGCAAGUCGUAACAUGGUAAGUGUACUGGAAAGUGCACUUGGUACACUA